rfam:Canis lupus familiaris chromosome 37, whole genome shotgun sequence.
AACCUCGUGUAGUUCAUAAGCAUUAGGAUUGGGCGUUCUGGAUGUUGUAUGACAUGUGUCUCCCUCAAACUUUGUUACGUCCUGGGCACAUUACCCAUCCAUUG